rnacentral:rRNA from 1 species
GACGAACGCUGGCGGCGUGCUUAACACAUGCAAGUCGAACGAUGAACUUGGAGCUUGCUCUGGGGGAUUAGUGGCGAACGGGUGAGUAACACGUGAGUAACCUGCCCUGGACUCUGGGAUAACUUCGAGAAAUCGGAGCUAAUACCGGAUAGGACCUUGCACCGCAUGGUGUGGGGUGGAAAGUUUUUCGGUUUGGGAUGGACUCGCGGCCUAUCAGCUUGUUGGUGAGGUAAUGGCUCACCAAGGCGUCGACGGGUAGCCGGCCUGAGAGGGGGACCGGCCACACUGGGACGGAGACACGGCCCAGACUCCUACGGGAGGCAGCAGUGGGGAAUAUUGCGCAAUGGGCGCAAGCCUGAUGCAGCAACGCCGCGUGCGGGAUGACGGCCUUCGGGUUGUAAACCGCUUUUAGUAGGGAAGAAGCCUUCGGGUGACGGUACCUGCAGAAAAAGGACCGGCUAACUACGUGCCAGCCGCCGCGGUAAAAC